UCAGCUACAGCUAUUUUCUUCGAAAGUUACAAAUGAACACAUAGGUUAAUUCGAGUAAUUUCGUUUGUAACUUGUCGGUGAUGUGUUCUAUUCCGUGUACAUGUUGGAUAACCUUAGUGUUUCUCACUAACUUACAGGAGGAAACGUAGCCUACCGUUGACUAUUUUGUUCAAAAUGUGCCAUCGAAAUGACACAGGAUUCAUUAUAAUUAUCUGCUGUAAGGAAUGGACUUGCUACAUCACCAACGACCAACCCCAUCACGGACAAAUCUCUCAUUCCUUCUUCUAGAGAACCUUGGCUAACUGUUUGGUGGUUUCAAGUGUUUGAAACUAUAGGUUUCUAAAUUUGCAUGACAGACUUUAAGUAAAGUCAUGUUGAAGAAAAAAGACUGACUGACAGUCAACAAUGUACACUACCUUGUUUGGUAAUUGGCUGCUUCCC